GGGCCGGUGGCGGAAUGGCAGACGCGGGGGACUUAAAAUCCUCUGGGUAAUCCCCGUGCGGGUUCAAAUCCCGCCCGGCCCA
rnacentral:tRNA from 1 species